ensembl:misc_RNA Y_RNA Y RNA
GGCUGCUGCGAAGGUAGUGAGUCUUAAUUGAUUGUGCACAGUCAGGUGCAGAUCGAACUCCUUGUUCAGUUCUUUCUUCUCUUAUCACUACUGCACUUGGCGAGUCUAAA